GCAUGAUGCAGGUGAAGGCGGUAAUGCCAACUAUGGCCUGCACAAGCACUCUACAAACAUGGCAUCGGCCACGGACACAGGGGAUCUGUGCAGAGCCUGUUCAGGACUUGGUGGUGAAGAAACCAAAGCCAUCUGCCAGAAGCAUAUGUAAACCAAUGCUCUAUCAAGCAUACACAGGAUCCCUCCCUGACCCAUCAGUGUUGUCCCUUGGGGAAGAAUUAAAAAGCCUCAGACCCCAACUGCUAAUAUCCUCAAUGCUGCAUGGCUUGUCUGAACUUUUACUGGUUGAUUCCAGGUUUGCACCUGUGCCAGGAGGUUCACCUUUGGCCAUGUCAAACACCCAGUUACCCCAGCCUUCCCCAAACUGUGGAUGGUGCCAAAUUUUCCAUACAUGCUGAUGCCCCAUACCUUGGUGCCAAUCCAGAUAUUUAUGACCCUAAUGUAGCUCCUAGUUUUGGGCUUGUAGAAUUUAAAUGCCCAGACAUCUGUAACAUUUCUGAGGCAGAGCAUAUCAAAUGUGCGAAAGGCCAGGCAAAACUGAAAAGAAAUCAUCAAUCAAAAGAAACUGACAGGUUCAAGGUCAAUUGGCAAUAACUGGAUUGCUCUGGUGUGAUUUCAUUACUAACACUGAAGAGGACAUAAGAUUUGAAGUUGUCUGGAGGGAUGAUGAAAUCAUGAUAGAUGAAAGAAAAGGUGGACCUUUACUUUAUUGUUAUGGAUGUGUAUCUCCAGACGGCUAAAUGGUAACUGUAACACCAGUAACUCUUUGUCUCCUAUACUUGUCAGAAAUCUCACCUGUUUCUAGGAGCCUAUAUGU